GACGCUACAAGCUUGGCACACAUGUAUUUGAGGAGUCUCUUCCAUUAUUCUCUGCAGAUCCUCUCAAGCUCUCUCAGGUUGGAUGGGGAGCGUGGCUGCACAGCUAUUUUCAGGUCUCUCCAGAGCUGUUAGAUCGGGUAUAAGUCUGGGCUCUGGUUGGGACACUCAAGAACAUUCAGAGACUUGUCUCAAAGCCACUCCUGCAUUGUCUUGGCUGUGUGCUUAGGGUCGUUGUCCUGUUGGAAGGUGAACCUUCGCCCCAGUCUGAGGUCCUGAGCGCUCUGGAGCAGGUUUUCAUCAAGGAUCUCUCUGUACUUUGCUCUGUUCAUCUUUGCCUCGAUCCUAACUAGUCUCCCAGUCCCUGCCGCUGAAAAACAUCCCCACAGCAUGCUGCUGCCACCACGCUUCACCGUAGGGAUGGUAACAGGUUUCCUCCAGACGUGAUGCUUGGCAUUCAGGCUAAAGAGUUCAAUCUUGGUUUCAUCAGACCAGAGAAUCUUGUUUCUCAUGGUCUGAGUGUAAGAACCGACACUGGAGUAGAGAAGCAGGUACGGUUAGUCAAACAUUUAAUCGGAACAGACAUGGAACAAGACAGGAACAGCGUCAGCACACGGGUAUACAAGGACAUAUGACAAUCAAUGCUGAAGCGGGGGAACAGCCAGAUAUAGGGGAGGUAAUGACAGAGGUGAUUGAGUCCAGGUGAGUCCAAUAAUCGCUGAUGCGCGUGACGGGGGAAGGCAGGUGUGCAUAAUGAUUGUGGCAUGAGUGCGUAAUGCUGGGAAGCAUGGCGCCCUCGUGUGCCAGGGGGGAAGAGCGGGAGCAUGCCUGACAUUGAGAGUCUUUAGGUGCCUUUUGGCAAACUCCAAGCGGGCUGUCAUGUGCCUUUUACUGAGGAGAGGCUUCCGUCUGGCCAGUUUAACAUAAAAGCCUGUUUGGUGGAGUGCUGCAGAGAUGGUUGUCCUUCUGGAAGUGUCUCCCAUUUCCACAGAGGAACUCUAGAGCUCUGUCAGAGUGGCCAUCGGGUUCUUGGACACCUCCCUGAGCAAGGGCCUUCUCCCCUGAUUGCUCAGUUUGGCCAGGGGGCCAGAUCUAAGAAGAGUCUUGGUGGUUCCAAACUUCUUCCAUUUAAGAAUGAUGGAGGCCACUGUGUUCUCGGGGACCUUCAAUGCUGCAGAAAUAUUUUGGUACCCUUCCCCAUAUCUGUGCCUCGACACAAUCCUGUCUCGGAGCUCUACGGAUAAUUCCUUCGACCUCAUGGCUUGGUUUUUGUACAGACAUGCACUGUCAACUGUGGGACCUUAUAUAGACAGGUGUGUGCCUUUCCAAAUCAUGUCCAAACAAUUGAAUUUACCACAAGUGGACUCCAAUCAAGUUGUAGAAACAUCUCCAAGGAUGAUCAAUGGAAACAGGAUGGAUCUGAGCUGCAUUUCGAGGCUCAUAAAGGGUCUGAAUACUUAUUUAUAUAAGCACAGCUUAGAAGCAGAAGGCAACAAACAGGCAGGUGCCCAGGCUAAGUGACUGUAUAAAAGCCAGCUAAGUGACUGUAUAAACGGCAGAAAAAUAUACAUUAAACCACCUGUAUUCUCCUAUGGAAAGGGACAUGUUUAGCCAGUAAACUCUGUAUCCCCCCCCCUUGCUCACUUGAACUGGUCCUUCUGCGCAAAACAACGAUGAGGAUGAUGACGAAGAAGGCCAUUGGGAUUAACACAAUAGCGAUUAUUUUUUCCUUGGAUAACCUGCCAGUGCCAUCAGGGGUCAUUGUGGGGGGAUUUGGAUCUGUGUGUGGGAGAAGAGGACAGGGGGAGCAGUUAAAGGACAAAGAAAACAAAUGAUCAUCAUCUAACACUGUUUAACACUAUUACUAUCUUCAGAUCAGACUUUUGGAAUUUCCUCCAUGAACAACAACGAAGUGUCUCUCACACACGAGCAAGAACUCAGUUUGUCUCUUUAUUCUCGGUGCACACGAUCUUGAGCUGAGCAUUGGUGUUCGGUGGGUUUCGGCACUCACCAGGACUCCCAGCAAAACCUCCAGGUCCACCUGUUGAAGACAAACACAUUUAGAAUACCCAGACUGCUGAUCUGUUAUGCAAUUUGCUCUUCUAAUGUAAAAUUACCACAAGAUAUGUUUUGUUUGAAAUACAGUUUGAAUAUUGAAUGGAACUCACCCGUCUGGACAGUUGAAACAAUGCCGGUGCAACCUGUAA
rnacentral:lncRNA from 1 species